ACUAUACAUGCAGUCGAGCGAGCCGAACUAAUUGAUUACCUUCGGGUAUGAAGUUAGGGAAGCGAGCGGCGGAUGGGUGAGUAACACGUGGGUAACCUACCCUAUAGUCUGGGAUACCACUUGGAAACAGGUGCUAAUACCAGAUAAAAGGAGAGAUCACAUGAUUUCUUUUUGAAAGGCGGCGUAAGCUGUCGCUAAAGGAUGGACCCGCGGUGCAUUAGCUAGUUGGUAAGGUAACGGCUUACCAAGGCAACGAUGCAUAGCCGAGUUGAGAGACUGAUCGGCCACAUUGGGACUGAGACACGGCCCAAGCUCCUACGGGAGGCAGCAGUAGGGAAUCUUCCACAAUGGACGCAAGUCUGAUGGAGCAACGCCGCGUGAGUGAAGAAGGUUUUCGGAUCGUAAAGCUCUGUUGUUGGUGAAGAAAGAUAGUGAGAGUAACUGCUCAUUAUUUGCCGGUAAUCAACCAGAAAGUCACGGCUAACUACGUGCCAGCAGCCGCGGUAAUACGUAGGUGGCAAGCGUUGUCCGGAUUUAUUGGGCGUAAAGCGAGCGCAGGCGGAAAGAUAAGUCAGAUGUGAAAGCCCUCGGCUUAACCGAGGAAUAGCAUCGGAAACUGUCUUUCUUGAGUGCAGAAGAGGAGAGUGGAACUCCAUGUGUAGCGGUGGAAUGCGUAGAUAUAUGGAAGAACACCAGUGGCGAAGGCGGCUCUCUGGUCUGUAACUGACGCUGAGGCU
rnacentral:rRNA from 1 species